GACGAACGCUGGCGGCGUGCCUAAUACAUGCAAGUUGAGCGCUGAAGGUUGGUACUUGUACCAACUGGAUGAGCAGCGAACGGGUGGGUAACGCGUGGGGAAUCUGCCUUUGAGCGGGGGACAACAUUUGGAAACGAAUGCUAAUACCGCAUAAAAACUUUAAACACAAGUUUUAAGUUUGAAAGAUGCAAUUGCAUCACUCAAAGAUGAUCCCGCGUUGUAUUAGCUAGUUGGUGAGGUAAAGGCUCACCAAGGCGAUGAUACAUAGCCGACCUGAGAGGGUGAUCGGCCACAUUGGGACUGAGACACGGCCCAAACUCCUACGGGAGGCAGCAGUAGGGAAUCUUCGGCAAUGGACGAAAGUCUGACCGAGCAACGCCGCGUGAGUGAAGAAGGUUUUCGGAUCGUAAAACUCUGUUGGUAGAGAAGAACGUUGGUGAGAGUGGAAAGCUCAUCAAGUGACGGUAACUACCCAGAAAGGGACGGCUAACUACGCG
rnacentral:rRNA from 1 species